rnacentral:piRNA from 1 species
UCUGAAUGGCCUUCUAGGGCAUCAAUGGU